rnacentral:lncRNA from 1 species
GCUGGAAGCCCAGCAUGAAGGAGUAGUUGACGUGUGGCAUGCACACAGGGCACAGCCAUGACCACAAGCCACGGUGCGCUGCGCACCACACGGGAUCCCAGGCCCCGCAGGUCCCCCGCUCGCUCUCUGCUGCCUGCUGCUGCCCACUGUCACAGCCUUUUAUCUUGAGGCUCCAUCCCAGACAGCAUGGAGUAUGGAUCUUCAUCCUGCCUCAUCCCACCUCACACACGGGAGCUACAGUGGUCUGGGGAAACACUGCCUGUCAUCUUUGCUUCAAAGAUUACCAUCAGCACCUUGGUUGGACCCAUAUGCAUUACUUAAAGCCAAUUAAAGGGGUGAAGAAAAGUCGU